rnacentral:rRNA from 1 species
UACGGAGGAUCCGAGCGUUAUCCGGAUUUAUUGUGUUUAAAGGGUGCGUAGGUGGAUUGGUAAGUCAGUGGUGAAAGUUUGCAGCUUAACUGUAAAAUUGCCGUUGAAACUGCCGGUCUUGAGUGCAAAUGAGGUAGGCGGAAUGCGUCGUGUAGCGGUGAAAUGCUUAGAUAUGACGCAGAACUCCGAUUGCGAAGGCAGCUUACUGGGAUGCAACUGACGCUGAGGCACGAAAGCGUGGGUAUCAAACAGGAUUAGA